GUUAUGGCGAUUCGACUUAUCCAGAGAAGGAGACUCACAUCCCCCAAGACA
rnacentral:tRNA from 1 species